GGGGUCAGGGGAAGGGGGAAAAAAAAUGUGUUUUUAUUGUGAACAUGUGUGGAGAGGACCCCGCCACAGAAACUCGGUGCCCACAGCUCUCUCUGCAGACCCCCUCCGCUCUUUGUCACCCAAAUCCGCUCUUAGGGUGUUUGCAAAGCGAAACACAUCAUAAAUCUCAAGACGGGCUGGAACCUGGAGACUUGUAAAAAGAGAGAGAGAAGAAAGGGGGGAGGCGGAGGCGGGAAGGAAGGUGGCCAAGAGGGGCAUUUUGAUGAACUCUCUGCCCUGGAAUGAAGCACUUCCCCAUGACUCCGACUUAGAAGCAGUUUUCUCUUGGCACUAGGUGGGAUCGAUCCCCGUGUCUGGGGUUUCUCUUCUCUCUCCCCUUCGCCACGCUCGCAGUGAAGAACAGAUGUGCUCGGCUUUAUAAAUGCUGACCAGCUGGGAAGGCUGCAGCAAACAUCCACACAGCUUUUCCCAAAUGCUGAUGCCUGAGGAGGCCUCUGGGAGGAAGACUGGGGGUCUCUCAGACACAUCUUGUGGCCUGCCUGCUUCCAGAAACUUCCGUGGGGUUCCCUGAAAGGGAAGCGCUAAAGAAAACACAGAAUCCCCGGAGCCUUUGCUUUGGGCACCCCACGUGGCUGUGCUGCUGUUUGUAAAGACCCGAAGCGCCCGACGGGUAAUAAUCCAGGGCCCUCCGGGCUGAGAUGGGGCUGGUGCGCGUGUUGAGGACUCAGGACAGAGGGCUAAGGCUGAGCUUUUCCUUUAAAAAACGUAAAGAGGCAAACGCUGAUUGUCGCACUCGGCAAUUAUUUGCUCCCCCCUCCAGAAGAUUAAAGGGGCCAUUUGUUUUCCUAAGUCUCAA